CCACCUAGGACCCCCAGUUCGAUCAAUUCUGGACUUCAAGCCUUGCAAGAGAGUUCUGUUGGUCGCCUUCACCUCUCCGUUCGCCUGUAUGUGGCUAACUGAGAUAAAGCGGUGCUCUAUUCCAUAUUCUCUAUAGAAUUCAUGAGGUUGGGCACCACUAGACUACCUGUCGUUAUCUGUAAUCAGGACUCGGAAAGACCAUAAUGGUAGAUGAUUGAUUUUUAGAUGAAAUCCUUCACUUUUGCCUC
rnacentral:lncRNA from 1 species